AGUGGCGGACGGGUGAGUAACGACGUGAGCAACCUGCCUUCAAGCGAGGAAGUAAUGGCUGGAAACGACCACUAAUACCUCAUAACAUAGCGAGACCGCAUGAUCUUGCUAUCAAAGGUUUACCACUUGAAGAUGGGCUCGCGUCCGAUUAGCCAGUUGGUGAGGUAACGGCUCACCAAAGCGACGAUCGGUAGCCGUACUGAGAGGUAGAACGGCCACAUUGGGACUGAGACACGGCCCAGACUCCUACGGGAGGCAGCAGUGGGGAAUAUUGCACAAUGGAGGAAACUCUGUAAUGCAGCGAUGCCGCGUGAGGGAAGAAGGCUUUCGGGUUGUAAACCUCUGUUAUCAGGGACGAAAAUGACGGUACCUGAGGAGGAAGCUCCGGCUAACUACGUGCCAGCCGCCGC
rnacentral:rRNA from 1 species